rnacentral:rRNA from 1 species
UACGUAGGGUGCAAGCGUUAAUCGGAAUUACUGGGCGUAAAGCGUGCGUAGGCGGUGAUGUAAGACAGAUGUGAAAUCCCCGGGCUCAACCUGGGAACUGCAUUUGUGACUGCAUCGCUGGAGUGCGGAAGAGGGGGAUGGAAUUCCGCGUGUAGCAGUGAAAUGCGUAGAUAUGCGGAGGAACACCGAUGGCGAAGGCAAUCCCCUGGGCCUGCACUGACGCUCAUGCACGAAAGCGUGGGGAGCAAACAGG